rnacentral:rRNA from 1 species
GGGCGUGGAUAAUAAUCGGGUAUAAGGCAGAUACCGAAGGCGCGGGAUAGCAAUGUAUAUUAAAAGUAUCGGUAGGGGAGCAUUCCAUGUGCGCAGAAUGGUGAAGAUGACUGAUCCUGGAGCGCAUGGAAACGCAAAUGUAGGUAUAAGUAACGAUAAAGGGGGUAAGAUUCCCCCUCGCCGUAAGACUAAGGUUUCCCAGGCGAUGUCAAUCAGCCUGGGGUUAGUCGGGUCCUAAGUCUCAGCCGAAUGGCGAAGGCGAUGGCUUCACGGUUAAUAUUCCGUGACUUGCUCAUUCAGCAAUGUGGAGACGGAGCAGUGACACUGUCGCGCCCUUACGGAUAUGGGCGUUAAAGAAGUUAGGUGUAGAUAGAUGUAGGCAAAUCCGCAUUUAGAGCUGAUCUUCGAUAGUACAGAGUUUUCUUCGGAGAGCUUUGAUAGUACAGGUAAUCAUACUUCCAAGAAAAUCCGCUAAGCUUAAUGUUUGAGCAACCCGUACCGUAAUCGGACACACGUAGUCGGGUAGAACAUACUAAGGCGUUGAGAGAUUCAUGGUUAAGGAACUAGGCAAAUUGACCCCGUAACUUCGGGAUAAGGGGUCCUCAUAGCAAUAUGAGGCGCAGAGAAUAGGUCCAGGCAACUGUUUAACAAAAACACAGGGCUGUGCUAACUCGAAAGAUGACGUAUACAGCCUGACACCUGCCCGGUGCCGGAAGGUUAAGAGGAGAGCUCAGAGGCAACUCGAAGGUUUGAAUUGAAGCCCCGGUAAACGGCGGCCGUAACUAUAACGGUCCUAAGGUAGCGAAAUUCCUUGUCGGGUAAGUUCCGACCUGCACGAAUGGUGUAAUGAUCCGGACACUGUCUCAACCAUGAUUCCGGUGAAAUUGUAGUAUCGGUGAAGAUGCCGAUUACCCGCGAUGGGACGAAAAGACCCCGUGAACCUUUACUGCAACUUAACGUUGUGACCGGGCAUCGGAUGUGUAGGAUAGGCCGGAGGCUGUGAAGAGGUUACGCCAGUAAUCUUGGAGCCAUUGUUGAAAUACGGCCCUUUCGAUGUUUGGUCCCUAACUCGCAAGUGUGAGGACCGCGUUUGGCGGGCAGUUUGACUGGGGUGGUCGCCUCCAAAAGCGUAACGGAGGCUUCCCAAGGUACCCUCAGGCCGAUUGGUAACCGGCCGUUGAAUGCAAUGGCAUAAGGGUGCUUGACUGCGAGGCCGACAAGCCGAUCAGGUAGGAAACUAGGGCAUAGUGAUCCGGUGGUUCCGUAUGGAAGGGCCAUCGCUCAAAGGAUAAAAGGU